GACGAACGCUGGCGGCGUGCCUAAUACAUGCAAGUCGAGCGCAGGAAAUCGACGGAACCCUUCGGGGGGAAGUCGACGGAAUGAGCGGCGGACGGGUGAGUAACACGUAAAGAACCUGCCCUCAGGUCUGGGAUAACCACGAGAAAUCGGGGCUAAUACCGGAUGGGUCAUCGGACCGCAUGGUCCGAGGAUGAAAGGCGCUUCGGCGUCGCCUGGGGAUGGCUUUGCGGUGCAUUAGCUAGUUGGUGGGGUAAUGGCCCACCAAGGCGACGAUGCAUAGCCGCCCUGAGAGGGUGAUCGGCCACACUGGGACUGAGACACGGGCCAGACUCCUACGGGAGGCAGCAGUAGGGAAUCUUCCACAAUGGACGAAAGUCUGAUGGAGCAACGCCGCGUGAACGAUGAAGGCCUUCGGGUCGUAAAGUUCUGUUGUAAGGGAAGAACAAGUGCCGCAGGCAAUGGCGGCACCUUGACGGUACCUUGCGAGAAAGCCACGGCUAACUACGUGCCAGCCGCCGCUGUAA
rnacentral:rRNA from 1 species